rnacentral:rRNA from 1 species
AUGAGCUCCUCGGUCGAGAAGGGGAACGGAUCGCUGGAUCCCGGCGAGCGCCCGGCCGCCGGCAGCCAGCCCAAGGCCUGCACCGCCUGCAACACCACCAAGACGCCGCUCUGGCGCGGCGGACCCUCCGGACCCAUGUCGCUGUGCAACGCGUGUGGGAUCCGGUACAGGAAGAAGCGGAGGGAGGCGAUGGGCCUCGAGGACCCCCCCAAGAAGAGGCAGCCGGCGGCCGCCGCGCCUGCGGCGGCAGCGGCGUGCUCGGAGGCCGGCGGCGAGAGCGCGGAUCCGGAGCAGCAGCAGCCUCAGCAGCCCAAGAAGAAGACGACGACGACCAAGAGGGGGCGCGAGGUGGAGCUCCGCGUUGUCGGGUUUGGCAAGGAGGUGGUGCUGAAGCAGCGGCGGCGGAUGCGGCGCAGGCCGCGGCUGGGCGAGGAGGAGAAGGCGGCCAUCCUCCUCAUGGCCCUCUCCUCCGGCGUCAUCUACGGCUGA